GCGGAUGUGACGGAAUUGGUAGACGUGCCAGAUUUAGGUUCUGGUGUCGCAAGGCGUGGAGGUUCGAGUCCUCUCAUCCGCACCA
rnacentral:tRNA from 1 species